rnacentral:lncRNA from 1 species
AAUUACAUGCAGCAAUCUGGCAGACGUUUACAACCGCAAAUAGGUUUUGCUCAAAAUGUCUUUUCAGUGUAGACAAUGGUUUACUUGAAAAAUAGUUAAUGAUGUCGACCAGGAUUGACGAUUACAAGAUGAUAUGUUGAUAUACUGAUUACAGAUUACUGGAGGAAGCAAGUAAUAAAGAUUGGGCCUAAGAGAGCAUCAAUUAGGAAAGGCAGGAGAAAUUUGCUGUUCGUCAGGGGAAGGAAAGCUACUACAGUAAUUACACCAAGAAAAAGCUCAUCCUACACUAUGGAGUAAAGUUUGCUUGAUGAAAAGGCAUUUUGAAGACUGGCGUCUCGUGUUCCUCAGGUUUGUUCGACCACCCAAAACUGGAUACCAAGGAACACGAUCACCUUAAAUAUAAGACCAGAGACAAGUAUCAAUCUUGGAACGAAGGCAAAAUUGGAUCGACCCCAAUUCAGAGAAUAAAGCGAAAAAUUGGGGUUUGAUCCAUCCGCCAUCCCCCACCACACCCGCCUCCAUUAGGCAGUACUUAAAAGUUAUCAACCUUUGGUUUCCUGUCCACCAUCUACCACCACACCCGCC